CCUACUGCUACAUCUUAUGACAAUGAUAUAAAACCAGCAAAAGAUAAGUCCUUCUCGAAAGAUGUCCACCCAAACUCUCAGUUGUUCCUUUACAAUGAUGGUGUCGUUAAAGGAGAGAGAUCCUUUGCUGAGGAUCUUGAGCCGAGGCCUAAUGUGUCCGUUUACCACGACGACGCUACUCUUAAAGGAGAAAAAUCUUUUCCGGAGGACUUCGAACCAAACUCUCAGUUGUUCCUUUACAAUGAUGGUGACGUUAAAGGAGAGAGAUCCUUCGCUGAAGAUGUUGAGCCGAGGCCUACUGCUGCUUAUAACUACUAAUUAGCGAGACAAAGUUGCUUGUUGAUGUGCUCAUGGUCUCUUAAUUACGAUGGAGCAGAAUUGAUUUUAGCUAAGCCCGCUAUGGUUUGUGACUUUAUUAAAUAAAGGUUUCCCUUAACUAGGGGCGCUUAUAAGCGAGCUAGCGUGUGUUUAAUUAAGCAAUGUAAGAUGUUUUCCAGUCAUUAUGAUAUCAUGUAAUAUUGCUAUAAGAAGUGUGUGAGAAUGUUACCGUUUUAAUGUGUUUCUUAUCAAACCCUUGCUAGUGUUUCAAAUCUCUCAAUACAUAGAAGAUCUUAACCAUUUUAAAAAAGAAACAGUUUCAAGUCGCCUGCUACCGUGCCUUCCUUGAAAGGGAAACGACGCUGCUCUUUUGCUGCCGAAUUUCAGUACCACCAACAAUCCCCCAUGCUAUAGAUUGCGCUAUCAUAGGAAGCAAUGUAUGAAAUCCAGAAAAGAUAAAGGAAAAUAAUAAAAUUGGCCCGCUCUUGAGUGAGAUUUUUAAUAUCUAAAUAUCUGAUGGUUCAUAUAGGGUUGUAAGGGCUAUUAUAAAAAAAACAACCUUUGAAAACUUUUGUAAAAAUUUAAACUCGGUUCAACAAUCGAGUUAAAAGUUACGGCUUUUUUAAGUCAUUAUUUUUUUGCUUAGAACGACCGGACCUCCUUCUAGGCCUAGAUCUAUCACAUUGAUCUAUAAAUAUAUUUGUUAGGUUAUCCAUAUAAUCUGCAUAUAAUACAUCAUCAUCUAAUUGCGACAGAUUUACACCUGACUUGCAAACCCCUAGAAAAAAAUAUACACUUACAAAAUAAUAGAAAAUAAUUUAAAUUAAGUAAAAAGAGUUAAGCAUGACAUGGAAGAGCAUUGGGGUAAACCUGGUUAGUAAUUUAUAAUAUUAUCGUAAAAUAAUAAUAAGUUCAUAAAAGAACUAAAAUGAUAGAAAAUAUAAAGUAAAUAGUUUUAAGCAUAGUAAAUGUUCACGAGGACCUAGUGAGAUAACUAAUAUGGUUUAUGUAAGGAGGGCACGAGAAAAAUUUGAAAUUUGAAGAAAAAUCACUCGAUGAUCAAUUUUGCGCUUUCAAGUAUAACUUUCAAUCAAAUUAUUGGAUCAGACUGAAAUUUUACGAUAAGUCUUUUUAACAUAUAUUCCUAUUGAAAUUUUAAAUCAACCAGAAUUUUAAAAGCUCAUACAAAGAUGAUGACGACAGUUGAAGAGAAAAAUAACAUAUAACUCAUUAAUGAUAUUUUUUUGUAAAUAUAUGAGUGAGCUGGAAAGUUCCAACAACUUCUUCUCCUUCUUUUAACUCUUGGCAAAACAAGAAAAAAAAAGGGAAAAGAGAGAAAAACCUUGCGAGCUUCCAUACUUAGAGAAUUUAGAGAAAGAAACAAGAAUUGGAGCAAGAUAAAGGAAUUAAAGAGUUUUUUAAACCAUCCAAACCAUUCAAGAAAAGAGUUAAUAGGAAAAUCAAGUGAAAGAAAGGAGAAACUAGAGGAGGAAGUCACGUCCAAAAGAGGAAAAGAGGUCAAGGAGGGAAAAAUUUGACUAGUUAGUAUUUGAAUUUUAUUUUAUUGUCUAAACAAGUUUGAAUGAAAAGAAACGAAUUUAAUGCAUAAUUCUUUAAUUUUGAAAUUAAGGUUCUCAGAAGAUAUUUUGGGGGAAGUGUGAAAUUAUUGUAGUUUGAUAUAAUUAUGACGAAAAUGGUUAUAAAUAAUACAAAAUAAUAAAUAAUUGAAGAAAAUUUUCAGACUAGGAUCAGCCACUUUAGAAGAAAAUAGCAAAGGGAAGGACCAAAUAAAUAUUUGUGUAAUUGCAUGUGUCAAGCAUGUUUGAUGUAUUAAUGAUGAAAUUGAAAAACACUUAAGUAAGCUUGUUUAAUUAGUUGUAGUUGGAUGUUAGUGCAUUUUGAAUGAUUACAUUAAGAAGGAUUGAUGAUAUAAAAGAUUCAUGUUUUAAUUGAUUUGGAAUUAUCAUGGCUUGUAUGCAAUAAGCAUGUAAAUGAAGAAAAAAUUAAACGAGUAAAAAACAUGACUAAACUUUGUGUAUUUUAAAUUAAUUUUGAAAAGUGGUUGAAAUUAAGGUACAGAAAUAGUAGAUAAAUUAUUUAAGUAAAUGUUAAGGAUGUUUUAAAAUUAAAAAGAUGAGGAUUUUCAGAAUCUUUGAAAUGCCAAAUGAGUAUUAAUAUAAGCAAAUAUGACUAACUUUGUGUAUUUUAAGUAUGAAUAUAAGCGUAAAUUAAGCUUGGGACAUAAAAAUAUACCUAGGAUUGUGUGUAAGGAAAUAAAGAUUGUUAAUAAUUGAAGAAGAUAACCUGAGGGGCAUAUCGUAACCAAUCAUCUUUCACUACAAUCUUUUUACAGAUCCCAUGGCACAGAGUGUCUCUUUCUUGUAUAGACAAGUUUAAACAAGCUUUUCAUGAAAACAAAACAAAAGAAAAACGUGAAUCAUUAGUGACCAUAUAUUAAUCACGAGCCUUCUUGUUUAUAUUUUCCCUUUCUCUUCUUGUUCUUUGCCUAUAUAUAAUAAGAAUGCAAGCGACCUCCAUACAAUCAAACAAUUUUAGAAGGAUCUGUUUAAUUUGGGAAGAAAACAUGAAAUCCUCCUUCGCUUUCUUCGUUCUUUUCUCACUCUUUUCGGUAUGCUUUUGUUCCUUUUCUUUUUCUUUUUUGCAAUGAUAAUAGAAUAAAGGGUGCACAUGCACCGCAUGCAUGCAGUACUGUCCUUUUAUCUAUCAAAAUCUUAUAAUAUAAUGUUUUAAUAUUUUUUUAAAAUUCUCUGAUUUAGCAGUUUGCUGACGUUAUCGGUGCUAGAAAAGACACUGGAGAGUAUUGGAGAGCUGUCAUGAAAGAUCAGCCCAUGCCAGAAGCAAUACAAGGCCUUAUUCGCGAAACCACAUUGUCAUCAGUCUCCAAUGAGAAAGCCGAUUGCCACACAACCGAGUCCAAUGAAAAGAAUAAUUUUGUCAAGGAUUUUGGCCCACAGCCUACUGUUACAUCUUAUGACAACGGUAUAAAACCAGCAAAAGAUAAGUCCUUCUCGAAAGAUUUCCACCCAAACACUCAGUUGUUCCUUUACAAUGAUGGUGUCGUUAAAGGAGAGAGAUCCUUUGCUGAGGAUCUUGAGCCGAGGCCUAAUGUGUCCGUUUACCACGACGACGCUGCUCUUAAAGGAGAAAAUUCUUUUCCGGAGGACUUCGAACCAGGACCUAACGUAUCAGUUUAUGAUGAUGGUGUCGGGCUUAAAGGAAAAAAAUCGU
rnacentral:lncRNA from 1 species